GCAUUAAUGGGGUAGUGGUAACCUGGGUCGUUGCCAUCACGGUUGGAUUCGACCCGCCGGGGGUUCGAUUCCCCCUUAAUGCA